CCUUCUGUAUCGAAUCUCUUACUAAUUGGAAUAUUGGUUUUUCCCAAUGAGACUUGAAUUAGGCAGAUUCUGUAUUAUAGAUAUAAAAUAUUUAUAAAAAUACAGUAUUCAUAUAUAUAUAUAUAUUCAUAUAUAUAUAUAUAGUAUGGUCAUUGGGAAUUACGCUAUUCACAGGGAAUUUCAAAGUGCAAAAAUGAAAAAAAAGGAAAAAAAAUGGAAGGGAAUAAAACAUGUAGAAAAAUGAAAGGGACUACUGAUUUUCUAGAUGAAAUCAUCGCGAGGAGAUCCUUAACAAAACCUGAUAAACUUUUAUUUCUAAAUAAUCACUGUCCACAAGUAAAGCUGACAAUUGAAACCAACUUAAAUGAAAAUCUUGAGAUGCAGUAACCCCAACAGCACCGAAGUUUUCAGAGAAGAAACAAAAUUGAUUCUUUACUUCCGGAAAGAUGCAAACGAAAUGCUCGAAAUGAAGAGCAAAGCAAAGCUGCAAAAAUCAAUCCAACUUCAAGAAAAAAAACUAACGUCUGGUCGAAAAUUCGGCAAUCUUAUUCCUGGAAAAUUGUUUACCAGCUCCACGCGAUUAUCAUGACCAAAAGAAAUCGAGAUAAAUUUAUGUGGAUUAAGUACCAUCUAGUGACCACGAACUGGCUUGUGUGGCAGGCAAGCAAGUUAGAACAAUGCUAUACAUAUCUGUAGAAGUAAGGCAACAUAGUUGCAGUGGAAGAGGAGGAAUAGCCAGUUGUUAGAAUGCAGUUCUCAGGGAGGUUAAUUACCCUACUUAAUAACCUACAUAGCACCCUGCUACUUCAAAACCAACAUAGCACCCUGCUACUUAAUAACCUACACACAUCAUUCUAAUAAGGCGAACAGAUUUUGCAAAUAGUUUAUACAAUGAGUCGUACCAAAAACAAACUUUGGAAUCAAAUGCUUACUACUCGUAGGAAACUUCUUGCAAGUGCAGGUUUGACCUCUUCAACCCUGUUAAAGAGUUGGCAAUGCAUGGCAAUUAUUGGCAAUGUUAUCUCAACCACCUGUCAGGUCGUCGACGUUUUAUUCUCACGUACUUAAGAUCAAUGCCGUAACGAAAACGACCCAGCGCAAGGGGCAUGAAGUUUAGAACAUAGCAGCUAACCAAUCUUAAUUACGCUGUAUACCACUUUCUGCAAAUGGAACCGUGAAAAUAUUCUGUCAAAAAUUUUAAUACUAACACGACUGCAGCUUUCGUUACUGUUCACAGUAGCCGUCAGGCUGCUAACAUUUAUUUGAGGAUUGUCGAGAGCACGACCUUCUGGCUGUUUCAUCAGUGACUUAAUUACUUUGAACAUUCUUAUGAUGACGAUUUUUUUUCUUCAAACAGAACGUCACCGUGAAAAUUUUUUUUCUAGAUACGGGUACUGAUAAUGAUGCUUGUGUUUAUAAACUCCUCAGUCCACAAAACCAAACUGCACCAAAACUAUUUCCAAUUAUUCUUUUCAAAACUAAGCAUUAUUACAGGGUUUAAAAUGAGCGUCCCCUGCCCUCAGAAGCUCAAAUCAAGGCUUAGAUAAGAAGAUUUAUCGAUCGUGAAACAUGUUAUAUAAAGCAGGAUCAUACGCUGUCAUUUGCUUACGAAGAUACCAUACCGCGAAAAUGCGAGUUACGAUGGACAUUUACGAGGAUCGAAUAGAACUACGUUAAAAAAUAUGUUGUACGAAACGCAGAAUAAUGAAAGAAAGGAAGUAUUAUCUGGAACCAUAGAAGUUUAUACCUCCAUGCUGGAACAAAACUUUAAUAAUAACCUAAUAAUUUGGUUAUUUUAUUUACUUAUACACUCUGAGAUAAAAGACAUUGAAUACUUACAUUAGCGAUAAUUAGAAGCUGUUACGAAAACAACAGUAUAUUAAUAUACCGAAUACAUAUGGCAAAAAAAUUGCUGAUUCUAGUUAUAUAUCGCAGUUUAGAGAUACGUACCAAUUAUUAGAAUUCAUUAGGGAUCUGUGUAUAGGAAAGGUGUUGGAAACUUCCAGCACUGGAAGAAAGUAGUUGGACCUUUGGGUCGUUUAUGGGCUAUCAUGUUUCUUAACCAACAAUGCGAAACCUUGUCGGUGAUCCAUUUUGGUUUUUAACUGAAUUUAUCUACACCAAAUGACACACGUUCAAAUUCCAUCCCAUCUGUCUUAUAUUCAAAAAAGGACUGAGGUGGUACUUAGGUAAUAUUCGUUUAUUAACCCAUUUGUUUUGCUGGGUGAUAGUCCAGCAGGCCGUUUGAGCCUGCAAAGCAAUGACUAACUUAUAUACCAUGACAGAACAUCGAGGAAUAUGAUUAUCUACGCAUUGAGGUUGCUCCUACAAAUGCAUAUCCGAUUGUUUUAAGCAAUUAAAAUAUGUGUUGUCCAAGAAGAUAUGUUGGACAAGAAGAUACAAAUCAAGAAAAAGCGUAAUCAUAUAUAUUUAUGUUACUGAUAUAUUAUAUCCGUUUUCAUACUAGCGACUAGCCGACUUCCGACAACGCUCAUAAACAUCAUAAAAAAAUUAUCAACCGUUACGUCGUAAACACGUAAAAAAAGAUUUAAAAGUCAUUGAGAGCUUUAAAUUUUAAAGUUCUUAUAAUUCAAAAUUUUUCAUAUUUGGAAAAGUUGUUACAGAAUCAGUACUCUAAAACAUAGAGAGCGCAAUAUUGGCUGCAAAAAUUAUUCUUAACGUGUGAAAAAAUCGUAAAUUAGAUAUUGUCUACGGGGAUGAUUUUACAUAUUUGAAAAUGUUGUUAAAGAAUUAGUACUCUAAAACAUAGAGAAUGCAAAAAUUGACUGCAAAAAUUAUUCUUAAGGUGUGAACAAACCGUAAAUUAAAUAUUGUCUACGGGGAAAGUUUUCCAUAUUUUAAAAAGUUGUUAAAGAAUUAGUACUCUAAAACAUAGAGAGAGCAAAAUUGACUGCAAAAAUUAUUCUUAAGGUGUGAAAAAAGCGUAAAUUAAAUAUUGUCUAACGGGGAAAAUUUUCCAUAUUUGAAAAAGUUGUUAAAGAAUCAGUACUCUAAAACAUAGAGAAUGCAAAAUUGACAAGCAAAAAUUAUUCUUAACAUGUGAAAAAAGCGUGAAUUGAAUAUUGUUUAAGGGAAAAACUUUCCAUAUUUGAAAAAGUUGUUACAAAAUUAGUAAUCUAAAACAUAGAGAAUGCAAAAUUGGCUGCAAAAAUUAUUCUUAACGUGUGAAAAAAUCGUAAAUUAGAUAUUGUCUACGGGGAUGAUUUUCCAUAUUUGGAAAUGUUGUUAAAGAAUUAGUUCUCUAAAACAUAGAAAAUGCAAAAUUGACUGCAAAAAUUAUUCUUAAGGUGUGAACAAACCGUAAAUUAAAUAUUGUCUACGGAAAAAGUUUUCCAUAUUUUAAAAAGUUGUUAAAGAAUUAGUUCUCUAAAACAUAGAGAAUGCAAAAUUGACUUCAAAAAUUAUUCUUAACAUGUGAAAAAAGCGUGAAUUAAAUUUUGUUUACUAGGAAAAUUUUCCAUAUUUUAAAAAGUUGUUAAAGAAACAGUACUCUAUAAAAAAUAGAGAAUGCAAAAUUGACUUCAAAAAUUAUUCUUAAGGUGUGAACAAACCGUAAAUUAAAUAUUGUCUACGGGGAAAAUUUUCCAUAUUUUAAAAAGUUGUUAAAGAAUUAGUUCUCUGAUACAUAGAGAGCGUAAAAUUGGCCGCAAAAGUUAUUCUUAAGGCGUGAAAAAAGCGUAAAUUAAAUAUUGUCUACGCGAAAAUUUCCCACAUUUGAAAAUGUUGUUAAAGAAUCAGUACUCUAAAACAUAGAGAAUGCAAAAUUGACAUGCGAAAAAUUUCCUUAACAUGUGAAAAAAGCGUGAAUUGAAUAUUGUCUAAGGGGAAAAUUUUCCAUGUUUGAAAAAGUUGUUACAAAAUCAAUAAUCUAAAACAAAGAAAAUGCAAAAUUGACUGCAAAGAUUGUUCUUAAGGUGUGAAAAAAAGCGUAAAUUAAAUAUUGUCUACGGAAAAAAUUUUCCAUAUUUUAAAAAGUUGUUAAAGAAUUAGUUCUCUGAAACAUAGAGAAUGGAAAAUUGACUGCAAAAAUUAUUCUUAAGGUGUGAACAAAAGUUUUUAUUGACAUUAGGCUACUACAAUUUUUUUAUAUUUUAAAAAGUUGUUCAAGCUCCGAAUGUUGUGGAAUGCAAAAUUGUUUGGAAAAAAAGUCUUUUAUGUGUGAACACAUGCGUAAAUCAGCAUUUGGCUACUGAGGAAAGGUUUUUCGUAUUAAAUCUAAUGCUUUAAAAUAGAAAAGAUUACUUAGAGAAUAUUUACUUGGAAUUAUUACGUUUUUAUCACGUGAGUUUUUGUUUACUGUUAUUAUUUCACAGAUAAAAGAAGAUGUGAGAUUUUCUAUAAUGAUUUGGUUGUUGGUAAUUCUGAAUGCUUAACAAAACUAUCUAUCCCAGCACAUUCGCCUAUUCUACUAUCUUGUAUAUUUCAUUUUUUGUCUUAUAGAUAAUACAUUUUUUUUUUUAUAAUUUUUAAAAUUUUUAACAUUAUUUAUUAUAUACUUGUAUAUACAGGAACCUUAUUGAUACCAGGAUUGUCUUUAUGAACCCUGAUUAGGACACCUGUAAAUAAAUAUGAAUAAUAAUAAUAAUAAUAAUAAUAAUAAUAACAAGCAAAGCUAUACAUUAACUCGUUUCCAGAUUGUAAACAUGUUCAAAUGAAGGAUUGAGAUAUGUGCGCAGAUUUGUCACGAUGUGAAUAGAUUUUUAAAAAACGUUAUAAACAAAAACUUGUAAUAUAAAAACCUGUAACAAACAAAUACAAUAUACAAACAUAAUACUGAUAUUAACUUUUCA